rnacentral:rRNA from 1 species
CCUCGGCGUCCGAGUUGUAAUUUGCAGAGGGAGUCUCGGGUGGAGCGCCGGUCCAAGUCCCUUGGAACAGGAUACCAGAGAGGGUGAGAGUCCCGUAUCUGGCCGGUUGCGACGCCGUGUGAGGCCCCUUCGACGAGUCGAGUUGUUUGGGAAUGCAGCUCCAAGUGGGUGGUAAAUUCCAUCUAAAGCUAAAUACCGGCCAGAGACCGAUAGCGCACAAGUAGAGUGAUCGAAAGAUGAAAAGCACUUUGAAAAGAGAGUUAAAAAGUACGUGAAAUUGUUGAAAGGGAAGCGUAUACGGCCAGACUUGGCCGCGGUUGCUCAGCCCGUCUUCUGGCGGGUGUACUCUCCCGCGGUCAGGCCAGCAUCGGUUUGGGCGGUCGGAUAAAGACGUGGGGAAUGUGGCUCCUCGGAGUGUUAUAGCCCCUCGUGCAAUGCGGCCAGCCCGGACCGAGGACCGCGCUCUGCUAGGAUGCUGGCGUAAUGGCCUUAUACGGCCCGUCUUGAAACACGGACCAAGGAGUCUAAUUGUUAUGCGAGUGUUUGGGUGUCAAGCCCGGACGCGCAAUGAAAGUGAACGGAGGUGGGAGCUUCUGCGCACCAUCGACCGAUCCUGAUGUCUUCGGAAGGAUUUGAGUAAGAGCAUAGCGAUUGGGACCCGAAAGACAGUGAACUAUGCGUAAAUAGGGUGAAGCCAGAGGAAACUCUGGUGGAGGCUCGCAGCGGUUCU